AUUAUCAGGAAACAUUUAUUAGCCAAAAUAUGUCAAACAUACAAGGAAUUUGUCUUGGCGGUUAUGGAGUUGCUGUCAUGCUGUAUGCUUGUCCCUUUCUGUGUUGGAGUCUGACUGGAGAAUCCCGUGAGCUGGUGGGUGUAUUUAUUCUCAAUUCUUAGGGAAAUGGUUUUGCCUUUAGUGAACUUUCUGUUUGCGUCUUGUUAAGUUGAAUCGUCACUACGCUUCCCAGAGUGCACCAGCAGAAAUCACUAAUUGUGGAGCACCUGUGUAGAGGUCCUCAUUCCCUUUUUAAACAGGCACAGGGGAGAAGAGACACAAGUUACUCUACGGUUCGGUCCAAAGACGCCAAUGGUUUACAACCUAACUCUGAACUGGCAAAUCAAUGGACAAAGGCAAAAGAAAAAUUUAAAUAAAAGUGAUUGAGCCAGAAACUUUGAGUUGUCCUCGUGUCCUUUGGAUUGUGAGGUGGAGAUAACUUGACACGUCUCCCAGCUCGUCACGAAGGCCCAAACCAUGUGUGAGCUGACUCUGGUGGAAGAGGCUCAAACUCCAGGCUGGGAUUAGAAGCCAGUUUCCUUUGUGUUGCUAUAUUCAGUUCCUGUCUGGAGCUUCUUCAUGUUGGUGGUAUUCGUUAGAUUCCAGAAGAUUACUUUUGACUGCUAUGGCUGGUUCGACACCUGCAGAAUCAAGGGGAACAUUGAAAAACUAACACUUCCAAAUGGCAUGCCAGAGUCACUAGAUUAUCUUCACUGCAAGAUGAAGACAACCUUUAGGUUAAAGGGCCUCCUCUGACUUCAAUACAUGGCCAAAGAUGUUUGAAAUUCUUUUUAAAUCUCAAUUCUACCACUGGAUUUCAUGGACUAGUAAGAAGCCAAAUGGGUUGGUUGAUUUGUAAAAUGUUUGCCCUACCUCUGUGGAUUGCCCGCAAGAUAUUUCGUAACCCGGUUUUAUAAAUUGUUGCAGAUAAUUUAAUUUUUUUAAAAAUAUUUUGUUGUCAUUUACUCAUUUCAGUUGGUUCAAUAUGCGUUGGGCAAGAAACCUGGUGGAGACCGUGGUACCAUGAGUACAAACAAAAGGUUUGACUGACUUGCACUAUUAACAAGUACACUACUAAAGAGACACUGCUCAUAUAGAUUUUAACUGUUUGAAUUGCUUGGUGAUUUAUGGUAAUUGUGAUGUUUGUUCCAUAGUGCAAGUGAAUCUUAUGUGUACCCUGUAAAAAUGCACUUUAAAUACACAUUUCUGUGACAGUAAUUAAAACUCAUUUUAAAUUUGUAUUUAAAGAGCAAUUUUUCCAUUAACUAAACCGGAGUUUGUUGCACAAUAUAUCACAAGUGGUUGUUUUGAAAAUAUCUAACUAUUUAUUUGAAUAGUUGCUUAAAUAUUUCUCCUGCAGAUGUUUUGAACUGGACAAAGAAAAGUCAACCUCCUCAUAGUGCUGUACACUUCAGUGUAACCCCAACACUGUAGGUUAAGACCUUAUGUUUACUGGCUUAGUGUUGCAAUGUACUCCAAUUUUACAGUCAAAUUUACUGUGUACCUGGAAUGUAAUUUUGGCAGUGAAUUUAUAAAAUGUCAAUGUAUUCUAGAGGAGAGAGAGAGAAGAUGGGCGAGGCCUGGGCUCUCCAUAAAGGUAUUUUUUUUUUUUAUAUAUAAUGCUUGUCGUACA